GGGUGUAGCUCAGUGGUAGAGCACAUGCUUAGCAUGCAUGAGUCCUGGGUUCAAUCCCCAAUACUUCCA
rnacentral:tRNA from 1 species